UUUCUCUUUCUUCUGAUUUCUUUUGAUUUUUUUUUGUUUUGUUUUGCACCCUCCUCUUUUUUUGUAUAUAUGCCCCAGUUGGCUGUUCUACUGAUUCUCGAGAUGCAGCUGAGUGAUCUUCUUUUCUUGCUCAAGAAGUCGGGAAAUCUCGUCAGGAAUCCCUUCAACAUCAUCUUCUUCUGCUUCGAAUACAGGGAAUUCAAAAUUGGGAGAUGACGUCCGAUCAUUGUGUUCAAUGGGUUUGCGAAUCAACCUGCAUAAUGA
rnacentral:lncRNA from 1 species